UGGCGAAACCGCCGGAAGGCGGUCUGUCAGAUGUGGUGGUCUGGCACUGAUGAGCAGCCAAAG
rnacentral:hammerhead_ribozyme from 1 species